GACAGAGGUGCCGAGCGUUAGGCGGAAUCACUGGGCUUAAAGCGUGUGUAGGCGGAUUCCUAAGUACCUUGUGAAAUCCCAUGGCUCAACCAUGGAACUGCUUGGUAUACUGGGUGUCUUGAGCCAACUAGGGGCUACCGGAACAAAUAGUGGAGCGGUGAAAUGCGUAGAUAUCAUUUGGAACGCCAAUGGUGAAAACAGGUAGCUGGGGUUGUGCUGACGCUGAGACACGAAAGCCAGGGGAGCGAACGGG
rnacentral:rRNA from 1 species